UUAAAAAUUUUAGAGAACAAAAGAUAGUAAAAUAAUAAUUUCUUGAUUUGUAAAGAAAAUUUAAACUAAUUUCAAAAAUCAACUUGCCAAAAACUGAAGUAGUAUCAUAAAAUAAAAAAAAUAAAAAAAAUAAACUGAUAAACUAAGACUUAACAAGUUCAACUAAAAUGUUCAAAGUAAAAACUCUAUCCCUAGUCAUCCUCCACUUCCAUGGCCACCUC
rnacentral:lncRNA from 1 species